rnacentral:ribozyme from 1 species
UUUUUUUUUUUUUUUUUUUUUUUUUUCUGCUAACCGAUGCAGUCUACAG